GACGAUGAUGAGAUUCCACUUCAUGGUCCGUGUUUUUGACAACUCAUGAUACUAGUGGAAGUUCUGAUGUC